GCCGGGCGUGGUGGUGGGCACCUGUAAUCCCAGCUACUCUGGAGGCUGAGGCAGAAGAAUUGCUUGAACCCAGGAGGCAGAGGUUGCAGUGAGCCAAGAUUGCACCAUUGCACUCCAGCCUGGGUGACAGAGCAAGAUUCUGUCUCAA
rnacentral:SRP_RNA from 2 species